GAUGAACGCUGGCGGCGUGCCUAAUACAUGCAAGUCGAGCGAACGGACGAGAAGCUUGCUUCUCUGAUGUUAUCGACGGACUGGUGAGUAACACGUGGAUAACCUCGCUAUGAGACUGGGAUCACUUCGGGAAUCAGGAGCUAAAACCGGAUAUUAUAUUGGACCGCACGUUUGACCAGUGAGAGCGGGGCUUGAUGUCGCUUAUACGUGGAUCCGCGCUGCAUUAGCGAGUUGGUAGGGUAACGGCUUACCAAGGCAACGAUGCAUAGCCGACCUGAGAGGGUGAUCGGCCACACUGGAACUGAGACACGGUCCAGACUCCUACGGGAGGCAGCAGUAGGGAAUCUUCCGCAAUGGGCGAAAGCCUGACGGAGCAACGCCGCGUGAGUGAUGAAGGUCUUCGGAUCGUAAAAUUCUGCUAUAAGGGAAGAACAAGUGCCUCAGUAAAUGUGCACAUCUUGACGGUACCUUGCGAGAAAGCCACGGCUAACUACGUG
rnacentral:rRNA from 1 species